AUCGCUUCUCGGCCUUUUGGCUAAGAUCAAGUGUAGUAUCUGUUCUUAUCAGUUUAAUAUCUGAUACGUCCCCAUCGGGGGACUACAUAUUAAAUGGAUUUUUCGAACAGGGAGUCGGAAAAUGGGGCUUGCUCCGUCCGCUCCACGCAUCGACCCGGUAUUGCAGUACCAUCCGGGAACGGUGCAACACUU
rnacentral:snRNA from 1 species